UCUUACGGCGACACUCUUUACCUUCGUUAUGCAAAAACUGCAGCAAAUCAAAUCCAUUCUCCUCCUCCUGCUGCUGCUUUGACAAGGAAUAUGUCACACCACAUGAUGAGAACCACAACUAUGCUUGCUCUUACUGUAAUACUGCCUGUUGUCAUCCUCGCCCUAAUGAUUUUCCUAGUUUGGUAUUCAAGAAAAUGUUGCACCUGCUGCUUCAUAGUCCCAAUUGUGCAAUCCACACAACAACUAGUUGGUCAUGACGAGGAGUUACCCUUUUUCGAUUUUAAAAGCAUAGAGAUAGCCACAAAUUAUUUUUCUGAUGAAAAUAAACUUGGUCAAGGAGGAUUUGGUCCUGUAU